AUUGAACGCGGGCGCCAUGCUUUACCAUGCAAGUCGAACGGCAGCACGAAAGAGCUUGCUCUUUUGGUGGCGAGUGGCGAACGGGUGAGUAAUGCAUCGGAACGUACCGAGUAAUGGGGGAUAACUAUCCGAAAGGAUAGCUAAUACCGCAUACGCUUUGAGAAGGAAAGUGGGGGCUCUUCGGACCUCACGUUAUUCGAGCGGCCGAUGUCUGAUUAGCUAGUUGGUGUGGUAAAGGCCUACCAAGGCGACGAUCAGUAGCGGGUCUGAGAGGAUGAUCCGCCACACUGGGACUGAGACACGGCCCAGACUCCUACGGGAGGCAGCAGUGGGGAAUUUUGGACAAUGGGCGCAAGCCUGAUCCAGCCAUGCCGCGUGUCUGAAGAAGGCCUUCGGGUUGUAAAGGACUUUUGUUAGGGAAGAAAAGGAUAGUGUUAAUACCAUUAUCUGCUGACG
rnacentral:rRNA from 1 species